rnacentral:rRNA from 1 species
UGGGGAAUAUUGCACAAUGGGCGCAAGCCCGAUGCAGCCAUGCCGCGUGUGUGAAGAAGGCCUUCGGGUUGUAAAGCACUUUCAGCGAGGAGGAAGGUGGUGAGCUUAAUACGCUCAUCAAUUGACGUUACUCGCAGAAGAAGCACCGGCUAACUCCGUGCCAGCAGCCGCGGUAAUACGGAGGGUGCAAGCGUUAAUCGGAAUUACUGGGCGUAAAGCGCACGCAGGCGGUUUGUUAAGUCAGAUGUGAAAUCCCCGGGCUCAACCUGGGAACUGCAUUUGAAACUGGCAAGCUAGAGUCUCGUAGAGGGGGGUAGAAUUCCAGGUGUAGCGGUGAAAUGCGUAGAGAUCUGGAGGAAUACCGGUGGCGAAGGCGGCCCCCUGGACGAAGACUGACGCUCAGGUGCGAAAGCGUGGGGAGCAAAACAGGAUUAGAUACCCUGGUAGUCCACGCUGUAAAACGAUGUCGAUUUGGAGGUUGUGCCCCUUGAGGCGUGGCUUCCGGAGCUAACG